UUGACCUCGGAUCAGGUAGGGAUACCCGCUGAACUUAAGCAUAUCAAUAAGCGGAGGAAAAGAAACCAACAGGGAUUGCUCUAGUAACGGCGAGUGAAGCAGCAAUAGCUCAAAUUUGAAAUCUGGCGUCUUCGGCGUCCGAGUUGUAAUUUGUAGAGGAUGCUUCUGGGCAGCCACCGACCUAAGUUCCUUGGAACAGGACGUCAUAGAGGGUGAGAAUCCCGUAUGCGGUCGGAAAGGCACCCUACACGUAGCUCCUUCGACGAGUCGAGUUGUUUGGGAAUGCAGCUCUAAAUGGGAGGUAAAUUUCUUCUAAAGCUAAAUAUUGGCCAGAGACCGAUAGCGCACAAGUAGAGUGAUCGAAAGAUGAAAAGCACUUUGGAAAGAGAGUUAAAAAGCACGUGAAAUUGUUGAAAGGGAAGGGAUUGCAACCAGACUUGCUCGCGGUGUUCCGCCGGUCUUCUGACCGGUCUACUCGCCGCGUUGCAGGCCAGCAUCGUCUGGUGCCGCUGGAUAAGACUUGAGGAAUGUAGCUCCCUCGGGAGUGUUAUAGCCUCUUGUGAUGCAGCGAGCGCCGGGCGAGGUCCGCGCUUCGGCUAGGAUGC
rnacentral:rRNA from 1 species